rnacentral:rRNA from 1 species
GACGAACGCUGGCGGCGUGCUUAACACAUGCAAGUCGAACGGAAAGGCCCUGCUUUUGUGGGGUGCUCGAGUGGCGAACGGGUGAGUAACACGUGAGUAACCUGCCCUUGACUUUGGGAUAACUUCAGGAAACUGGGGCUAAUACCGGAUAGGAGCUCCUGCUGCAUGGUGGGGGUUGGAAAGUUUCGGCGGUUGGGGAUGGACUCGCGGCUUAUCAGCUUGUUGGUGGGGUAGUGGCUUACCAAGGCUUUGACGGGUAGCCGGCCUGGGAGGGUGACCGGCCACAUUGGGACUGAGAUACGGACCAGACUCCUACGGGAGGCAGCAGUGGGAAAUAUUGCACAAUGGGCGGAAGCCUGAUGCAGCAACGCCGCGUGCGGGAUGACGGCCUUCGGGUUGUAAACCGCUUUCGCCUGUGACGAAGCGUGAGUGACGGUAAUGGGUAAAGAAGCACCGGCUAACUACGUG